rnacentral:lncRNA from 12 species
UUCCAUUAUGGACAUUAAUCAGGAAAUUAUGAACAUGAGCUUCAACUUGGAAGCAGAAACAAAACUGCCUCAUGUCAUCUGAGAUCUAAAGCUUCUGGAGGAAGGUUGAGACGGCAUUUCAGCACACUUGGUCUUCAGGAUUGAAGGAUUUAAAAUGCAGAAUUUAAAAAAGGCACCUCAGUGCACAUUCCAGAUCCCCCGUGGGACAGGAACUGACAGCUGGAAAUGUCUGGAGUGGUUGCAGCUCGGUGGAAAUGAAGUGUGAAAACAUGAAGCAAGCCCAUGCAGUUGUUGUUCACAGGAAUUGAUUCUCUGUAUUUGA